CCUACGGGAGGCAGCAGUGGGGAAUUAUGGACAAUGGGCGAAAGCCUGAUCCAGCCAUGCCGCGUGCGGGAAGAAGGCCUUCGGGUUGUAAAGCGCUUUUGUCAGGGAAGAAAUACUCUGGGCUAAUACCCUGGGGUGAUGACGGUACCUGAAGAAUAAGCACCGGCUAACUACGUGCCACCAGCCGCGGUAAUACGUAGGGUGCGAGCGUUAAUCGGAAUUACUGGGCGUAAUGCGUGCGCAGGCGGUUGUGUAAGACAGAUGUGAAAUCCCCGGGCUCAACCUGGGAACAGCAUUUGUGACUGCACGGCUUGAGUGCGGCAGAGGGGGAUGGAAUUCCGCGUGAAGCAGUGAAA
rnacentral:rRNA from 1 species